UACAGAGGGGGCAAGCGUUAUUCGGAAUUAUUGGGCGUAAAGGGCGCGUAGGCGGCUUGGCAAGUGGAUGGUGAAAUCCCUCGGCUUAACCGAGGAACUGCCGUCCAAACUGCUUUGCUUGAGACCGGGAGAGGUGAGUGGAAUUCCCAGUGUAGCGGUGAAAUGCGUAGAUAUUGGGAGGAACACCAGUGGCGAAGGCGGCUCACUGGCCCGAUACUGACGCUGAUGCACGAAAGCGUGGGGAGCAAACAGG
rnacentral:rRNA from 1 species